UACGUAGGGGGCAAGCGUUGUCCGGAAUCAUUGGGCGUAAAGCGCGUGUAGGCGGCCCGGUAAGUCCGCUGUGAAAGUCCAGGGCUCAACCCUGGAAUGCCGGUGGAUACUGUCGGGCUCGAGUCCGGAAGAGGCGAGUGGAAUUCCUGGUGUAGCGGUGAAAUGUGUAGAGAUCGGGAGGAACACCGGUGGCGAAGGCGGGUCUCUGGGCAAUUCCUGACGCUGAGGCGCGAAAGCGUGGGGAGCAAACGGG
rnacentral:rRNA from 1 species